rnacentral:lncRNA from 1 species
AGUGAAGAUGAAACUUGAACAAAACACAAGUGUAUGUUCAAUUACCUAUAGUACAAUGAGCCUAAUGUCCCAACAAAGAUGACAUAAACACUAGGAGUAAAACUUUCUAGGAGUAGAGAUUUGACAAGAAUGUAGAUUUCACCUUCUACUCAGAUACUCUUCUCCCACCUGUUCCACUGCCUGUCACAUUAUGUGGAGGUCACCAAGAAUUAACCGUGUCCUCUCCAGGUUGAAUGGCAGCCCUAACACAGGGCUCUUACUUUGGUGCACACCCAAGAGCAUGCUAUACAAGGGAUGAAAGCAACAACAUGGGCUGCCUGGUCACUUUCCCCAUUUGUGUCUCAGCCAAAGCAGAUUCCCUGAUUCCUAGGAGUUUGGGAAGAAAUGCAGUGGAGAAAUUCUUCUAACUCAAAGGAAAAAAAAAAAAGCAUAUUAAUUUGGGACGAUUGCCAAAUGCACUAGAAAUAUGAAUUUAAAAUUAGAAUAAAUCAUGAAGAAUGAUACAAAUAAAAUAAAUCUGGUAAUUAUGUAAAAACACUCUUCAUGACACCCAGAAAACACUGACCAAGUCACCCUCAAGUCAAGCAACAGCAAGAUGUCCCACCUAUUACAUCAAAUAUUACUGUGUUGCCCUUAGGAAUCCUAGAGUCAGCCUUGACAUUCUCACCCCAAAUUGGAUUCAAAGACCCUAAUCUUAAACAAGAAAAAUAUCAUUGGCAGCAAAGGGUAAAGCGAAGGUUUAUUAAAAACUGUUUUAAAAGCAAGUAUUUACAAAUCCAUAGUCACCAUGCUCAGAAUUCUCAGAGAACAGACACUUCUGCCUUUUCUCCUGAGCUCCUUUAAUAAUUCCAGGGAGGAAAUUAUAUCAGAGUGGAGGUAACUACUUUUUCUCAACUUUUCUAGUGUUUUAUAUGAGAAAAUAGUUGUGAUGUCGGUGUCUUUGUAAAACAUUAAAAAUAAUCUUGCAGAAGAUGCACAUGUGAAUGGAAAGGAAUGUGCUAAAGACACGGAUUACAUUUAGCUUUCUAGAGGUAAAUUAACUAAAAUACAGGAAAUGUUAAUGCUAUAUUAGGAUAUUUUUCUUUACUUAUCAUGCCCCCCUUCCCCUUCUCUAUGUGGGCUUACUAUGUUUAAAACUUAUAAGUGAACUGAACAGGAUGAACCUAUGCUGAGCAAAUGGAUAGUACAAUUGGAAAAUACACACGGGUAACUGUGCCAGCUCUUGAAGUAGGGAAGUGUAAGUGGAUAAAGCUGGUGUCUAAAAGGAGAAGUGUUUUAGUCGUUUAUUAAGAGUACCCCUUCUGCUUCUCUCUUAGUAAGAUGUUAUUUUUCCAUAAUUGUGUGGUGUCAACAGAUGGUACGAGUCACGAAGUGGAAGAGGAAGAAUCUUCAGCAAUUUGUUUCUUAAUCCAUAAAGUGGAUCCCUGGAAUUCUAUGAGGUCUUUUGUGACCUUAAAAUCUAUGUUCCUUAAAAAAAAGUUUUUCUUUUGAUAAACUGUGUUUAACAUACUCUGUUUCCAUCAUACGCUCUUCAUCUUGUACAUAAAUAUUCAAUAUGAGAUUACAAUCUGGGUUCAACAAAAGUCCACCUAUUUGAUACAUCAAUACAGAUGUUUUAAUUUUUUGAAAUGCUUCCAAUUGUCAAUAUCAAUUUAAAGGUUAACUGGAUGGUCCUUGUCCACUCACUUUAAACCACAAUAAAUAAAUUCUGUGACCAGUGAACUACUUUUUUAAAAAGGCAAAUCCAUUUUAAAGGUAAUGAAGGUUAAAAGUUAAAAGAGAAAAAUGCAUUGGAAAUUGAAGAUACCAAGGCUUUCAGAACCAAGCACACCAUUGCCAGAAAUAUUCCCAUAGUUAAUUUAUAAACUCUUGAAAUGAAUAGAAAUUCUGACAGCUUCUUAAGGAAGGCAGUGCUCUGAAUUCUGCAAUAAUAAUAAGCUAUUCAAGUAUGGAAUGUAUGUGAAUCAGUCUUUCUGGUUUUGCAAGUUACCAUGGAGUUUUUAAGAAUAAUAGACAUAAUUAGAUUUAGUGACUCAAUAAAUAAAUGAAACUUUUUCAUAAGCCACCAGUAAUUUUCCCCUGUUUUAAACUAAAAGUGAGAAAAGCAGAGCUUUCAUGCAUAAAAUCUAUCCUAUGCUCUUGACAAGUGUCUGAAAAAUGCAUGUCCUUUAGUCAAAGAAAGUAGAUAAUUUAUUGACUUCUGACUCAUUCAAUAAAGAGAAAGGAAUAUUUUUAGAAAAAAAUAUAUAAAGAGCUGCCCUUUGCUUUCUUAGGUCUUGUGAGAAUUACAAAAUUAAAAAUAAGAAAAUCGUAAAAUCCUAAUUGCAUGUUUUAGGUAAGAUUCUCAAGUGAAGUUACAUAGCAUACAUCAAAUCAAAUGGAACAGGAGUUUAUCUGAAGGAGAAUAGUUCAGGCUACACUUAGUUUUGCAAAUUGUCUUGGUUUCUAUGACAGCAUUUCCAAAUACAUUCUGUACAGCAUCAGUGUCACAAAAUAAUGAUUGUUCUGUAUCUUUAAAAAGGAUUCUGAGGUCACAUACCUAGAAAAACUAAGUGAAAUGCAAUUGGUGUGUUUAUGGCUGAACUUCUUAAGAUCCUGUUAGUCAACAUUUGCAAGGAUGAAAUGUCCUGAUGAUAUCAUUUUUGUCCUGGUUUCAAAUAUAUCCAGAAUCUAACCAAUGUUCAUCUUCUAUGACCAGCCUGGUCCAAGCCAUUAUAAUCACACACAUCUAAUAGCAAUAGACUUCUUGCUGGCUUCCUUGUCUCCAUCUUUGUCUCCUUAGUUAUAAUCUAUUCUCAACUCCAUAGCCAUCUUGUCUACCUUUGUGCAAGACUCUCCAGUGGCUUCUCAAUGUGCUAACCAUCAAAAUCGCAGCUUGCACCAGACAUCGGCAUAUGGCUUCGUUUUAGCAGUUAUUUCUACAUAGAACACUUUUACCCUGGAUAUCCAUGGAGCUAAAUACCUAACCUUUUAUGUCUCUUUUAAAUAUCAAUUUCACAAAAUGAUAACUUCCCUUAUUAGAAUUUCAACAUAUUUCUCUUAUCCUGUGCUCAUUUCCUUUUAAAAAAAAAUAACACUUCUUAUCCUCUAAAAUCCUAAAUAUACCCAUGUGUCAUGCAUUAUGUUACUGCUUUAUUGUUUUUAUCUCCCCACUGAAAUGUAAGCUCAAGCAGACAGAUGCAUCCAUCCCAAUUAUCCUGAAUGGUACCCAGCCACAGUUGGGUCCCUAAAAAUACCUGCUGAAUAAUGAACACAUUUUUAGAAGGGAUAUAUUGUAUUCAGUUUCUCUAAAAUUUAUUAGGUCCCCAAAACUCUCUAUUUCAUUUUUUUCUAAAAACCACUGACUCACUUACGACAAUUUGAUAUGGAGCACUCAAGAGACAGGAUAGGAAUAAUCUAUAUAUGAAGGACACUAAAGGAUAGAUGAGCUUGAACAUAAUACCGAUUCAAUUCUGUAACAUCCCUAACUUAUAGGGGGAUGUGUUUAAUGUUCUGGCAUUUCACUUAGACCAGAAUAAAGUGAUCUAACUGGGAACAUGUAAAUUGGAGAGAGCUGGCAGAAUAUCUAAUUCACUCUUCCUUUCCCACUGUUGAAAGCUACUUUCAACUGACACGUGCUAGGGAUAAACAAAAGUACCAAUCUAAGCUGAACUUUGUAUUGACAAUUUUUUGAGGAACAAGACAGGAGUAUGUACAGUUAAGUAUCUGUAUGUUGGAGGAUAUCCUACAACCUUCAUAUGGAAAAGAGAGAAAAGAAUAAAUACACACAUAAAUUAUUGCUUGAUUGCUUUAGUCCAUUAGUUUCCUAGAAAUAAAAUGACAGGCUUCCUUAGGUGUCUCAAUGUACAGAAGCUCCUUAUAUUUAAGCAAGAAUGGAUGAUCAGCCAUUAUAAAAUGACAACAUUUUCAUUUUUUUUUGUCUUUUUGCCUUUUAUGGGGCCACACCCACAGCAUAUGGAGGUUCCCAGGAUAGGAGUCUAAUCAGAGCUGUAGCUACUGCCCUAUGCCACAGCCACAGCAAUGCCAGCUCUGAGCCAUGUCUGUGACCUACACCACAGCUCAUGGCAAUGCCAGAUCCUUAACACACUGAGCAAGGCCAGGGAUCGAACCCACAACCUCAUGGUUCUUAGUCAGAUUCCUUAGCCACUGAGCCACGACAGGAACUCCAAAUGACAAAAUUAUCUUAUUGAACAAAUACAUUCACAUCAAUCUAUAGUAACAGAAUAAUAAAAGCGUAUUAAAAAGGAUACCUUGUAUGCUGCAGGCACAGCCCUAAAAU